rnacentral:rRNA from 1 species
ACUCAAAUGAAUUGACGGGGGCCCGCACAAGCAGCGGAGCGUGUGGUUUAAUUCGAGGCUACACGAAGAACCUUACCUGGGUUGGACAUGGCGAUGGUAGGGAAGCGAAAGCGGACCGACCUUCGGGAGUCGUCACAGGUGCUGCAUGGCUGUCGUCAGCUCGUGUCGUGAGAUGUUCGGUUAAGUCCGAAAACGAGCGCAACCCUCGGUGUCAGUUACAAGUGUCUGGCGCGACUGCCGGCGACAAGCCGGAGGAAGGUGGGGAUGACGUCAAGUCAGCAUGGCCUUGAUAUCCAGGGCGACACACACGCUACAAUGGGCGGUACAAUGGGUCGCGCAGCCGCGAGGCGAAGCCAAUCCUCAAAAGCCGCUCACAGUUCGGAUUGCAGGCUGCAACCCGCCUGCAUGAAGUCGGAGUUGCUAGUAACCGCGCGUCAGCCAUAGUGCGGUGAAUACGUUCCCGGGCCUUGCACACACCGCCCGU